CGCGAAUGGCUCAUUACAACAGCUAUAAUUUACUUGAUCCUGACACUAUCCUACUUGGAUAACUGUGGUAAUUCUAGAGCUAAUACAUGCAUUAAAGCUCUGACCUCACGGGAAGAGUGCACUUAUUAGAACAAAACCAAGCGGCUUCGGCUGUUUCUGGUUGACUCAUAGUAACUGAGCUGAUCGCACGGUCUUGCACCGGCGACGUGUCUUUCAAGUAUCUGCCGUAUCAACUUUCGAUGGUAGUGUAUCUGACUACCAUGGUGAUCACGCGUAACGGAGAAUAAGGGUUCGGCUCCGGAGAGUUCGCCUGAGAAAUCGCGAACACAUCUAAGGAAGGCAGCAGGCGCGAAAAUUACCCACUCUCAGCACGAGGAGGUAGUGACGAAAAAUAACGAGACCGUUCUCUUAUGAGGCCGGUCAUCGGAAUGGGUACAAUUUAAACCCUUUAACGAGUAUCUAUGAGAGGGCAAGUCUCUCCAGCAGCCGCGGUAAUUCCAGCU
rnacentral:rRNA from 1 species